GGGUCCCUGUACGGAUCUUGUAAUUGGAUUUUCCGUUCUGAAACGGGUAUUGAAAAACAAAAAACGAGUGGUUAUUUGAUUUUCGUUUUAAAAUACAAAAGUUAAAAUUGAAAUACAAGGCGGUUUUCCUUUUCAUGAUCAAAAAGGGAUAUACGAUUUUUUUAAAAAAUGCUUUGAUUUUCGUUUUAUAUUUAGAAAAACAAGAAAGUAAAAUCAGUAAGAGACAGAAACGAAAAAAGGUCCGUUUUGUCAUUUUCUGAGACCGGAAGUGGUCAUCAGCAAGUGUGGAGCCAAACGACAACAAGAUUCUCAGAGGGCGGAGCCAGAGAGCAGCGAUUGGUCAGACCAUAGAUAGUAUAGAAGACAGCGCGCCAGCGUAUCUAGUCUAUGUAUAUCUAUGGUCGGCACGUCUGGUAGCAUCUCUGGCUAGUGAUGGCGAGAUGAAGCUUCAUGAAGCAUUGAUGCUUUCCAUCCAAUUGUUUCACUCAUGGUUCGAAGCUUCAUGGUGCUUCAUUUACUCUACUGCGUCAUCAACUGGACAAAUAAAACAGUAAACAGGCAGAGCGCCUAUAAUGACACUAGCUCUGCUAUGUGAAGCUUUGAAUUGUGCUUAAAUGAUAAUGCCAAUAAACAAGUAAUAUACUUCAUAUAGUGUCUGCUUUUCCUGAUAGCAGGGACAGAGGGGGAAAUGGAAACCAACUGGGGAGAGAUUUGAGAUUUGUAGCUUGUCUGCUUGAUUGAUGUCAGGUUCUGGCUUUCUGUAAAGUGCUUAGAUAUUUUUAAUUGUAAUAAGGGCUAUAUAAAUAAAAUUUAUUGUGCUUUUGCUACUUGUUUUGUGACUGUGCGUGUGGUACCAGUGACAAUCUGUAAAACAAAAGUAGGGACAACAUUUUAUUUGUUUUUAUUCAAAAAUAUACAUUUUUCCACAGUGCUGGGAUUCAGGUGGCUUCUUUUUUUGGACAAUAUUUCUCUAGCUCCUUGGAACACAACAGACACUUCACCUUUUAAAAUACCAGAAAAAGAAGAAAUUAGAACAAGCGGUGUGUGGUGUUGUCACAGUUAUUCAUAUUACACUUCACUUGUUAUGUGCCUACUUUAUUAAGAGAAAUCAGGUCCAAGUGUUCCCAGACAGGGGAGAAUCUUCUCUUUCUGGCUGGUUCUAUAAAAAAAAGAGUCUCAAACCGAUUGAAUGCAAAGAUACAGCAAGUAAAAAUCCAGCAAAUGUGAACGGGGAAUCUAUUGUGUUUCACUGCCCUUUAUAUUUUGAAUUGCAUGUCGAACCACUUCCUGAACCAGUCACGCGGUCCGACCUGCUUCAAACGUCAUUAUUUUGGCUCCUCCCCUAAAUGAAGCAUAAGCUUCGUGGACAUGCCCCCCCGUUCAUUACUCGACACACACUUCGAAGCCUCGGCACAUCUCGUAACAUCACCAUCUCUGGCUGCUAUUGACCUUGUUUUUGGAGUAAAACACGGUAAGAAGAUAAAUACUUCUAACCUGUAGCAUCAUUUUGUUGUACGUUAAGUCAGCGACUUGUGAAGAGUUGUGUUUUGUCGUGUUUCAGCAGUUGGUCCGGACGCGUUAGCUAGCUAAGCGGCUAAGUUAGCUAGCGGGCUAAUUAACACAGGUGGCUAACCUACCGCUGAACACCUGUGUUAGUUGCUGCUGCAGCUGUCUGUCAUUAUUAGAAUGACUUUCUCAACCUGUAUUUCUCUGCUGUGUAUUUUAGCCUUUAAAAAAGUUAUUUUACUUUAAGGUUAACUGAAACCCGUUCAGCUGCACUGAAGUUCAACAUUCAGCUGGUUUGAAUUAAACUGCGCUUAACUUAACAUUGCGCAACAUUACCUCUCUGAAUCUCCAUAAUGUCAUUAAAUUCCUUCUCUCUUCCACUGCUCAAGUUCAAUCCAGUAUAUAAAAUGACAUUAAUAGUGAAUAAACUAACAAUCAGCCAUUGUAUUUAUUUAUUACUGCAUGUAUUUGUAGUAAAACAUGAGUUGAAACAUCCUACUUUUGGAUCUAGAACUGCACAAGCUGUUCAUUUUCAGUCAUCUGAUGAGUUAAACUCCCCUUUUUAUGUGAGGUUGAAGCAGAAAGUCUGAGUUAACGAAGAUAGUUCUUUAUAACUUGCGAUACCUGUUAUCUCUGACUGAGGCUUUAGUUUUUGUUGAGCUGAUUUACACGUAGAAACUUUGUUCAGGAAAAUUUCUCAGUAGCUCAGAGGACAGGCUGCUUUUUACUCAACCUUGUAAGAGAAUGUCUGUCAAUGCUUUCAGCAGAAUUUAGAAACACAACACUUCCUAAACAGAUAUUUUGAGGCUGUGAGGUUGAACGUUUGAGAGUAUAUCAGUGUGUUUGUUUGUGGUCUUUCUGUUUCUAGGUGGAAGCUGAAUUAGUGAGGAUGACUCCUGCUCCUGUCAUCUCUAAGCUCCUCACACAUCUUUACCUGCACAUGAGGAAAAUCACUCCUGUAGAAUGCAGAACCUCUGGGGAUGUCCUGUGGAUUCUGUGGAUCCUGUGGGUUGCAGGGUGGGUCCUACCUAGACCAGGCUGAUCCUGGACCAUCCCACAGAUGCUCCAUCAGAUCUGGAUGUGGAGAGUGUGGAACCCAGAUGUUCAGAGGGAGAUGAUGCCACAUCUGGUCCAGCUGAUGGAAGGUCUUGAAGUUCUCUGACUGACCUCGACUGAAGAUGGUCGUCUCACUGGAUUUAAGGUUCAGAUGCUCAGUAACAAACUCCACCAAUGUGCCAACAGGGAAGCUUUAGGUUUAUUAAAUGUUGCUAUGAAGGUAUUGCUGUUUUUCUUUGUGAAUGCAAUGUGCUCCAACUGAAACUUGAAUUAGAACUUAGAAGUAAAUCCUUCCAUCUGAAAGGAUUUAGUUGCAUUAAUAACCUCAAAACAUUCUAAUUUUUAUUCCAGUCUUAGUUGGAAAUAGAAUCUCUGUAUUGAUUCAGGUAAAGACUGAACUUCACAGCAUGUUGAAGCAAAACAACCAGAUGAAAACUGUGAUGGUGUUGGAUUGUCAGACCGUAAUGUUGCAGCUCAAAGCAGCUUUUCUAGCUCAGUUCAUUCUGACAUUCAGCUAUGAAUCAACACAGCAGAUGGUGAUCUAUGCUGUGGAAGUCUCACAUCUCCUGAUUUAAUGGAGCUGCUUUGCACUUUUUACACUGUUUAUUCACCAAGACUUUAUUUAAUAAAAGUCCCAUCUAGUUUUCAUGAGGAAUGUGAUGUUUUAAUUUCUCUGUGAAUAACUGCAGUCUAAUGCAACAGCUGGAGUUGUAACAUCUGUCCUGAUAUUGAUCAUGAAGUAUUGAUCAGAAUACUUAUGGUUAGCAGUCAUCCCUGAAGUUUUACAUUAAAAUCUUUACUUGUGUUGUGAACUUUGGUAAGAAGCAGAAACGUUAGCGUUGCCAUGGAUAUAUGAGUGUUAAAUUCUGUCCAUGUUUCCAUUUUGGGAAAUGCAGUCCAGUUCCAGAAUGUGGAGGAAUUUAGUCUCACAAUCACAGACAACAAAUAUUAUCUGAAAGUCAGGUUAUUGUUGUUUAUCAGCACAAUACAAAAAGAUUCAUGUUAGAAAUAUUCCAGUUAAGACUCUAGAAUAUCAUGAUUUAUGUACAUUUACCUCAAUAAUAUGAAUGUUUAGGUUAAGAUUGUGCGGUGAUAUUUAUUAUGUAAGUUUAGCUGAUUAACGUUUAUGACUCUGCACUAAAAUAUUAUUUAAAUUGACAUCAUUAUUAUAAUAUUUAGGGUCAGACCCUACAGUAUUGAGAUUAAGAAAUCAAAUAUUCUAUAAAAUGUACAUACACUGAACUCAUUUGGAUAUAUUUAAGUGAGACUCUACAAUAUUAUUUAACACAAAUCUAUCUAAAUCAAAAUUUUAAUAAUUUUCACGCCAAACAUUUACUGGACUGAUUUAAAUAUUAAAAUCACUCCUUUCUAAUCCUCUGCUGUACGUUCAAACCUGAGGCCUUAAAUAGAAACGCACAAGUAUCUGUUUGAAGGAACUUCUGCAGAGUCCUGGUUCCAGAACAUGAUAAUAGAAUUAUAGACAAACUUUAACAAAAGCUGCCUGAGAGUUUACAGGUUUUUAUGUUAGAUUUCUUCAGUAAUUUAAUGAGCGUUAUCAGCAAAUAUCAAGUGUUCAUUUGAUGAACUUCAUUUCCUCAAACAUCCAGAAUUGGAGCUUAUAUCUUUGGCAGCUGUAAAGUUUCUGCUCCUUCAAAGUUCACAACACAAUGAAUUAAUUCCUAAAACACACUCAAUGCUGGAGAGUGUUUGAUGCUGAAGCAGUGACCAGUUUUUCUGUUUCUUCUCUGGAGAUGCACAAUGAGGGACGUCUGCAGCGACGAAGAAAGAGUCUCACCACAUCCUGACAUGAGGAAAAAGACUUUAUUGAAGACUACAAUGAGAAAAACUAUCAGACAGCAGACGGCUGCAUUCAAGGUGAGCUCUGAACAUUUGAUCUGGAACAGGAAUUCAAUAACGGCAGCAUGAGCUUCAUUUCAGUCUGUAGCUGCUGAAUUCAUGGAUGAAUCAUCUGGCACUAGAGAGGAAGACCAUCAAACAUCCACGUCAGCUGAUGGAGGUCCAAGAGUCUCACCAAACAAACAACCUACAGAGUGAAGACCUUGAAUCUGAUUGGACGGCCUCCUAUUCAGCCACGUGUGAACAAAUGCCUCUAAGCUGAUUUGUUUUCUAAAAUAAAUCUAGUUUGAGUCCUAAUCUAUGCCUGUGUGUUUGCUUCUUUACACCACUGUUAACAGUUUAGGUUGUUAGAUUGUUCCAGAUAAGACAAGUACAAGAUUGUUCAGAGCCGUUCUACCACGAGCCUAACAGGAAGAACUCCAACAGCUACUGAAUGUUCCUGUGGUCCCUUCAAGGCUACAGGAGGAGCCCUACGAGGACGAGCCGGUCCAGCUGAUGGUGGCCAGUCGCUGUGGUUCAAAGCCAACACCGACUACGUGGACUUCUAGUGGACCACAUGGAGGCCUUCAAACCGGACCAACAAGUUCACCGACUCCCCGACUCGUGGGUCUGAGGACGCCACCGAGCCUCGGUCCAGCUGGCCUCCUGUCUGUGGGUGUUUGAGUGCUGAGAGACCUGACCGUGAACACCGUUGACACCCACCUGAGGGAGACGCUGCCUAAGAUCUCAAGGCUGCUUGGUCGUGGUCUUUCUGGUCCUGCUCCAGAACGCCUUCAUCAACUACAUCUUCUUUUGAAGAGGCCCUCAGAUGCUGCAAUCUCUGACCUUAAGGAGGAACUGCUACUUUCACUCUGUAAUGAGACGGCGGUUAUUUAAAAGACCCAGCUCCUGGCAGGCUUUGAGUGAAAGUUUAACACCCAUCAAAACGGAACUACACACAGUUAAAUCUGAGCUGUCGGUCAGUAUUUCAAACAUCAAGUCUGACCCGGCUGCCCUAAAGCAUGCUGUGGGUGAAACGUAAAAAUAAAAAAAAUAAAUAAAUGUGAAAAAUGUGAGCAGCAGCACACUGUGAGCAGUGGAACAGAUGUGAUCAGAAAGAAGUCAUUUUCUUUUUUAUUUUCUUUCUGGUUGACUUGAUGAUGUCAGAUGCAGAUGUUGGAGCUGAUUCUGAUCUUUCAGGAUAAAAAGCUGCUUUUCCUUCACAGACUUUUCAGGAAAUUCUUCUCUCAGGUUUUCUCUGCUAUUUAUAUUUUUAUUAUCUGUGAUUAUUUCAUUAUUUCUUUAUUGUAAAAAUAAAGUUUGAGGCAUAAAGACUCAUUUAGUUAUUUUAAUCCUGAAAUCUUUGAUGUAGCAGAACUAAACUUCCAUUUUCCUUCUUGUACUUCUGAUACUAGAACUAAACGUAUCUUCAACACGUAUCAUCUGCUUUUAAUGAAUCAGCAGCAACAUCACAACAACAAAUGAGACAAUUUUCAACAAAUUAAUGAAACUGAUGUCAUUAAAACUAUCAGAGUCUGUUUUAGUGUCAAAUUAAAGCUGAUUACUGACAACUAGAACAUUAACGUUACUGUUUUAAUCACAUUUAAGUUUCCUGAACGUUACAUUAAUGUCAACCAGCCACAGUUUUAUGAACUUAAUGAACCACAUCACAGUAACACAACACACUUCAGCUGUUUACAUGAAACGCAACACAUUAGCUUGAUGCUACGUUAGCUUUAAUCAGGCUACGACUGAGCAGCUAGGUCGGUUAGCAUCGCUAUCAUUAAAGCUAAUAUUUACUAUGCUAACGUUCUUCUCUGGUCAACACACACUGAAACAAACUCCACCAACAUCUGGAGUGCAUGGCACACAUUAUAUCUGACACUAAAGUUGCAUAUAAAGUGCAUUAAAAGCGGCACCGAUACGAAAAUAAACAUUUACUUACCGAACUAUUAGAGUCCUUUCAGUGUCUGCUGAUAGAAAACUGGGUAAAACAAGCCAACGGGCAGGAAAACUGUCUGUGGAAAAUGUUCUGCUGCUCCACCGAUAAAUAAACCAACAGUUAUUAUAUCAGAAUUAAUCCAAACGAGGAGAGCAGAGUCUCUGCUGCCUCCUCCAUAGGACCUGUCAAUCAUUCCAGACCGGCCUGUCAAUUAAGUAGUCCCGCCCCCUGGAUUCGCAAAACUUUAACGCUCUAUAAAAAAAUCAAUAUUGAUUUAUUUUAAGAUCGGCCACCUGAUCUCUCAUUUUGACCAUGAAAACUCACGAAAAAAAAUUUAUGUACAGUCUAUGCACCGUACUCUGUUUGGCUCCACACUUGCUGAUGACCACUUCCGGUCUCAGAAAAUGAAAAAACGGAUCUUUUUUCGUUUCUGUCUCUUACUGAUUUUACUUUCUUGUUAUUCUAAAUAUAAAACGAAAAUCAAAGCCUUUUUUCUAAAAAUCGUAUAUCCCUUUUUGAUCACGAAAAGGAAAAACGCCUUGUAUUUCAAUUUAAAUUUUUGUAUUUUAAAAUGAAAAUCAAAUAACCACUCGUUUUUUUGUUUUUCCAAUACCCGUUUCAGAACGGAAAAUCCAACUACCAGAUCCGUACACGGACCUAGAAGAAUAGCAGGUGUGUUCAUGUGAGCACACGUUUUUUUUUCUUAAGUUUUUACUUACACGUUUCUCUGCAUUUGUGCGUAAUUGAAAUGUGGAUGAAGUGAAAUUACAAGUACACGUGCGUGUUUUUAUGUGGAGCUUUAAGAAGCCCUUCAUCCCAGUCUGAGCUCCCUCUUUGGUGCAGCACCUGAGCUCAGACUUCACUCUUCUUUUACCCAGUUAAAGCCUUUUCCUAAAUUUAAUGCCCGUGGCCCCAGAGUGUUUGUUUCAGUCUGCGAGUCCAGAGAGGCGAUUGAAGAGGAGUCUCCUCCAUUGGAUUAAACGGUUUCUCUGCAAGUCAAUGAAUAUGUAAUGAUGUCUAACGAAACCGGCCACUGAGUCCUGUGCUCUCUGGUAUACAGAGCCCAUAUUAAAGACCUCUUCUGCUGAGGAAAAACACAGUAUAGAGUCGGGCAGAGAGAGAAAAAAGGAGGGGACAGAAUAGAGGAAAGGGGAGAAGGGAUACAAUCUUGAAUGCACCUUCAAGCUUAAGCCAGACAUUCUCCCAGUCAAUAGAUAAAAAAGUAUUUGCUCACGGACUGAGAGAGAAAGAGAGAGGGAAGGAGAAAGAAAGAAAGAAACACACACGGAGAGAGAGGGGGGUUCUAUUUUUGAGGCUAGGGUGGGGGCUGAAUUUACAUUUUUUAAACUGCUUUGGAAAUAUUGUUUCUGAUAAGCAGUCAUGCCAAUAAUGUAAUUGAAAUGAAUUGAUAAAAGAAGAGGCGAAGAGGGAGAGAAAGAGAGUCCCUCCACUAUGAUUGUUAAAGAUAUUUCUCCCUUAGCAUACCCGAUAAAACACUGAUUGUUGCAGUUAGUUGACCCGUAAAAUUUAGGGGUUAGUUUUCUCCUCUGAGCUGAGCAUAUAAUUAUGCAAAUAGUGAUCUGACAGUGAUCCGCUGGAGAGUGCUGAAGGAGACUGAGUGUGUGUGUGUGUGUGUGUGUGUGUGUGUGUGUGAGGGGGCUGUCAGAAGGGUGACAUUCCAACUUUGCCUAAUGCCUGGUUCCUUUGGAAGAGAGUUCAUCUUCUGCAGGGAUGGCGUGCAUAUCAGAGUGGGCAGGAGAAAGCAAGCGUGACAACAACUCUCUUUAAGUAAAAAUUGAAAUAUCAGGCUGUGUGGCAGCACAGGGGAUCCCCGACUUUUUUUUUUUUAAUGUCAUGGUCCCCACCCUUACUCCUCCUCCCCAAAGCUGAUAUUACAGCACAGACCCCCCAUUUGGCAGGAUUUCAUCCUAAAGCUCCGCAGCUGUUAUUUUCCGUUGUAGAUAUGAUUCAGUGUGGAGCUGUCUGUUACUGUCUGUACCAUGAACUGACGACAAUAGCUGGGAGAGUGAAAACUAUAAUCAAAUCAGACAUACCUAUUAUACAUUCACAUGGUGGGCUAACUUCCAUCGAAUCAGACUUUCUCGUUUGUUUUUUUUCUAGGGAGGGGGUCCCUCCUUGGAAGGUCCUGAGACAUAAAGAGAUCAUCUUUGUCACAAGGCUUGACUUGAUGCAGCGGCAGAUGCCCACACAUUGAGAACACUUCAAAAGCAGUGACGAUUCUCUCAACUUGUUUUCCACUUCUUCUCACAUUGCCAUAUAAUCUCUGAAGUGCACUUAACAGAUUGUGAAGAAGUCUUAAGGCAUACAUUAAUUCCUGGACGAAAAUAUAAUGCAAUCCUCAGCGUAGUCUAUUAGUCGCCUGCCUUUGAUGAUAACUGACUGCAGGUCAUAAUUUAUGAUAGGCUACCUCUUACAUUACUAGCUUUGGACAGAAGGCAGGUUAUUUAAUUAAACUCUGGAAAUUCUAACUAAUACGAGGGGGAAAAAUGAGUUUUUUCUUCUUCUCCUGUAUCACCGAAGCUGUGAAGUUGCGUAUAUAUCCCAAGGAAGUUCUAAACACGUUUAAAGACAGAAAGUCGAGCCUAAUUCACUUGUGUGUCUGUGUGAUUGUGUGUGUGAUUGAAUGCCUCUCUUUAAUCUGCGGCCUGACACUGUGUGAGGGGAACUCGCCUGGUUCCACUUGUUGUUCGGGGGUUAAUGGAAAAGAUUUCUAAAGAUUUAUUGAGGGGGCGUUUAAUGACCUGAUCGGUUUCACCGUGUGAAAACAAAUGAUGCCGUAAAACCUCGCUGGGUUGGCGGGAGCUCAGUUUACCUAAAUUAAUGACCAAAAAGAGGGGUAUUACAGUUUAUAGUUUGUUUUCCUUCUGACACGCUUCUUGCUGCCGAUAUAAUCAAUUUAAACAUAUGGUUCUGUCUCAGAAUAACCUGACCUAUAGCUGAGGAGGUUUAAAAAUCCAAACCCAGGAAACUUUUAUCUGCUGUUCAACUUUAAAAAGCAACACUGAACUAUAGUGUAAUUAGUUAUUUUAACAGUUUAGAAACCUGAAAAAGAUCCUUAACAGGUGGCCGAUGCUACUUUUGCAUUUCUAAAUACAUCUAUAAUGUGCGCCGGCAAUCUGUAAAAAAACAAACAAACAAAAAAAACAACUUCAGAUGUUUGGCAAGAAAAACUUACAGAAAUAAAGAGCAUCACGAAAAAAAUGAAACAGAAAAAUAUCAUAAUCAAGAUGCAAGAUUCGUUUUGUUUGCUUUUUUCUUUAAUGAGUUGAUUACAAAAAUGAAAUCAUGUUAAAGUAAUUACUGUGUCGCAGAAGCGAUAAAAAUAAUUUUUAAAGACAGUCGUUUAAAACCCGAGAUGGAUCAAAAGAGGAGGAGGAAAACAUUUGAUAAUAUAAGCAAAGUAUGUGACCUGGCAGGAUACUUUCAAUAAACCAAAAGCCUGUACUGUGAUGAAACAACAUAGGCAUGUUUCUUAAACGAUUAGAACAAAUAAACCAUCUGCAAAAAAUAGCGUCUUCCAGAGCAAUUGGCAAAAACAGUCCACUUUUAUUUGCAGACUGUGCUUUGGAUUUAGGCUGCUCUUACAUCGUUAGUUCUGUUCACAUAUGGCUUGCUGGAUAUUAUUAAAAACAGUGAGCAGAGUCUUGUUUAUUCCUAAGGCAACAAUAUACAAAUUGCAGAGUGAAAAAUGAACUGAUUGUAGCUGAAAAGCAGAAAGAUGAGCAAUGGUAUCUGGAAAUGAAACUCAUCAAAUCAAAUAAUAAGCCAACUUCUUUGCUGAAACCUGGAGAGAUCUGAAUCAAAUUAAAAGGAAAUUAGGCCUGCAACCAUCAGCCACACUUGUCUGAUUACAGCAGAAAGAUAAUCCACAAAAGCCUUAAACCAUACACAGUGGGCAGACGAGGCAGGAUUUCACAGUGUACAAGUUUAACAAUGGUAACUGUUGGAAGUAAAGGAAAAGAAAGGAGAGAGAAGUAUAUAUGUGAGAAUGUGUCUAAGGUAUCAUAAGACUUAGUAUCCAGUUUGAGUUUUUACUAAUGUCAUGACACAUUAGAAAUGUAUUCCAUUAAGCCUCGAGUGGUUUAUAAAACACAUCAGCUUUAUGGAAAAAAAAAUUACCAUGUUUGUGUCACAUAGUCAGAUUAUGUGCAGCUGAGCAUUGAGCUAACUUUGUCACUUCUAAGUACACAAGAAGAGUACUUUGGCUGAAAGAAAAAAAAUGGAUAUGUUACAUUUCUCCAACAUCUAAGGAAAUAUCAUUCCGGCUUAGAAUAAUAUUGAAAUCUUGGAUUUCCUGACAUGUGUAAGGCGAUAUAUUGAGGUUUUAUGAGUGUUGUGAGCUGACUUCUGGCUCCUGUUAAAAUGAGAUAUCCCUCAAACCCAUUUUGAUGCUUGACUUUAAGUGAUUUUAAAUAUGCUCAGUGUCCUGAAUUUUCCAUAUUCAGAACAGGUUGUGUUUGGUUUAUUUGUUUCAUCGCAUUCAAUCAUCCAGAGACAUCAAUUUCAAGGAUAUCACACUGGAAAAAAAGAUAUAUAUUUAUAAUAAACAGAGAAAUGAACUCUCCACACUUUUUGCAAAUCAAACCCAUAGAUGUACUAAAGUAAACACUCACUUACUUGCUCUGAGAGACAUUGGUUUAAUAUUAAAAAUAACAUAGUCUGAAUGUGUGUAUGAGACACUGCCUUCAAAUUUAGCUCAAAGUUGAAAAACAAACAAAUCUCUCUUUUAAUAAGAACUGCAAUUCCAGAAAUACAUGGCGCAGGUUAGAGCCAUGUCCCUCACAGAGCUAAAUGAGUAAAAGUUAAACUUAAAAGCUGACUGUGUGUGUGGAAGAGUCACACAAUAAAGACAGGUCCUAAAAACAACAUGCUUUGUUAAAACAAACAGUCAUGAGUGAAGAGAGUUCAGUCUUAUUAAAACCUGUGGUGGGUAUGGGAUGCAGGAAAAAGGAGGCAUUAGUCAGAUUUAAAUGAUACCGAGUCUUACCAGAACAUGCUGUUCCACAUGAGCUAAUUUCAGGGUAAGCAGUCCAGGCGUUAGGACCGGGGGGGGAAGAGGGAGAGGAGGGAGAGGCUGAGCAGUGGAGACUGGAGGGCAGGCGGGGCAUUAGCUCAGUUCAGGCUGAUGUCAGGACAAUUAGAGGUGCACCACAGCGCAUUGUGCACAGCGCCUGUCAGCCUUAAUCUCUGCUGCUGUGGCCUGUACCCGCAGCCAGGCCACAGCCCACGGGAAGCGCUAACACUCAGGCCCAUAUUGCUUUGACAGUUGCACUCAACUAGAAGUAAUGCAAAACGUUAUUGUGAUGUAUACACGGUGACCCUGUACUCUUGUCUCUUACAACAAGAAGGCUAUGUGUGCGCAAAACCAGGGAGGGCUGGAAGGGAGAAAUGACACUCAGGGAAAAGAGUGGGAAAGGAGAGGUGGUGGGAGGUUACAGAGAAACAGGGCGAGAAAA